rnacentral:lncRNA from 1 species
GGCUUUGGCAGUGAGGACCUCAGGGGUCCUUUUUCAAAGUCAGGAGAACUCCGGUCGUGCUUGGUAUUUUUCAUGGGUCGGUAGUUCGUGGUCGUCGUUCUAGCGAUGCUUGCCGCCUUGGAACUGUACUUGCGUCGCUUCCUCUAUGUCAGCCUGAACGUUGACGAGCUGCAUCAUCUACCCGACCGUGUUAGGGUAGCCUCAUACACCUUGCAGAACAUGUUGCAGUUUGAC